UGAAUGGUGGAACGAGGGCUUAACUGUCUCCCCUUUCAAGUCAAUGAAAUUGAUCUGCCCGUGCAGAAGCGGACAUAUAAAUACAAGACGAGAAGACCCUUUGGAGCUUAAGAUACAAGAUCAACUAUGUCAAAAACCCCCGUUAAACUAAAUAGCACCUGAUCCUAAUCUUCAGUUGGGGCGACCACGGGAGAAAAUAAAGCUCCCACGCGGACCGGGAUACCUUCCCAAAACCAAGAGAAGCAACUCUAAGUCGCAGAAUUUCUGACCAAAAGAUCCGGCUUUACGUCGACCAGCGAACCAAGUUACCCCAGGGAUAACAGCGCAAUCCCCUUUCAGAGUCCAUAUCGACAAGGGGGUUUACGACCUCGAUGUUGGAUCAGGACAUCCUAAUGGUGCAG
rnacentral:rRNA from 1 species